rnacentral:lncRNA from 1 species
CUCACUCCUAUCCUUUACACCAUUGGGUUAUGCCCCGAGGGACAACUAAUUAUAUUACCUAUUGUAGUGUGCUACUUCAUUUGAUGCUUAACUAUUGUAAUGUGUCAAAUUCCUUGGUGUUUAGGAGGUCAAUUCUGUAUUAUCCGUAAUUUUCACUGUAGAUUUUGUAUCCCCAUUAUUUAUCAUAAAUAUUUACAUUUAUCUUCUCUUGUUAGAGUCUUCUCGUUAAAAAAAAAAAAAAGAGAGAGAGACCAAAAAUUUGAACCAAUAAUUGAAAAUUUGUUAAAUUACAAAAUGUUAUAAAAUUAUAAAGGUAAUUAGCAUAAAAUAUCUUCAUCCUUUAAUGUCUAUACCUUUCGUCUUUUUAACAUUUUCACCCAUAUUUUUACAUUUUUAAUGUUGAAAAAGGUCAUUUUCAUCCAAUUUUUUAAUUUACAAAUGUAAAAUAACAAAUAUAUCCUCCUAUUUAAAUAAAACCAAAAACAAAAAAGUUAAAGAACAAAUUGUAAUUAUACUCCCAAACUUUUUUAAAAAACUACAAAUGAGUUCAAAUAAAUUAUUAAAGGGAUAAUUAGCACAAAACGUCCGUAACUUUCCAUAUUAUUGUGCAAAACGUCUCUACCUUUUAUCUUUUACUUUUAUUUUCAUAUUACAUUACGAAAAUCAUUAUUUCAUCCAUUUUCUCAACUAAAAGCUGCAAAAUAACAAAUAUAUCUUCCUAUUUAAAUAAAAUAAAAAAAAUAAAGAACGAAUUUUAACUAUACUCCAAAAUUUUUUAUAAUGUACAGAUAAAUUUAAAUAAAUGAUUAAAAAAAAGAAAAUUCAUUAUUUCUAUUUUAUUUAAAUAGGAGGGUAUAUUCACCAUAUUGUAGUUUUUAUUUGAAAAAAUGAAUUAAAAUGAUGAUUUUUUGCAAUAAAAUGCGAAAAUAAGGAUGAAAAUGUCAAAAAUGAAAGAUAGAGACGUUUUGCAACAAUGAUAUUGAAAGAUUGUGCUUAUUACACUUUUAAUAAGUUAUUUGGAUUCACUUGUGGUUUUUUAAAAAGUCUGGGAGUAUAAUUGUAAUUUGUUCUUUAAUUUUUUUCUUGUUUUAUUUAAAUAUGAGAAUAUAUUUGUCAUUUUAUAUUUGUUUAAUUGAGAAAUUGGAGUGCAAUGAAAUGUGAAAUAUGGGUGAAAAUG